UACGUAGGGUCCGAGCGUUGUCCGGAAUUAUUGGGCGUAAAGAGCUCGUAGGCGGUUUGUCGCGUUGUUCGUGAAAACUCACAGCUCAACUGUGGGCGUGCGGGCGAUACGGGCAGACUUGAGUACUGCAGGGGAGACUGGAAUUCCUGGUGUAGCGGUGGAAUGCGCAGAUAUCAGGAGGAACACCAGUGGCGAAGGCGACUACCUGGCCUGUUCUUGACGCUGAGGCGCGAAAGCUAGGGGAGCAAACGGG
rnacentral:rRNA from 1 species